GACGAACGCUGGCGGCGUGCUUAACACAUGCAAGUCGAACGGAAAGGCCCUGCUUUUGUGGGGUGCUCGAGUGGCGAACGGGUGAGUAACACGUGAGUAACCUGCCCUUGACUUUGGGAUAACUUCAGGAAACUGGGGCUAAUACCGGAUAGGAGCUCCUGCUGCAUGGUGGGGGUUGGAAAGUUUCGGCGGUUGGGGAUGGACUCGCGGCUUAUCAGCUUGUUGGUGGGGUAGUGGCUUACCAAGGCUUUGACGGGUAGCCGGCCUGAGAGGGUGACCGGCCACAUUGGGACUGAGAUACGGCGCAGACGGCAACGGGAGGCAGCAGUGGGGAGUAUUGCACAGUGGGCGGAAGCCUGAUGCAGCAGCGCCGCGUGCGGGAUGACGGCCUGCGGGUUGUAAACCGCUUUCGCCUGUGACGAAGCGUGAGUGACGGUAAUGGGUAAAGAAGCACCGGCUAACUACGUG
rnacentral:rRNA from 1 species